ACAUUAGGUCUUACAUAAACAUUUCAUAGAAUACCCUGAGCUGGAAUGGAUGCACAAGAAUCAUCAAGUCCAGCUCCUGGCUCCACACAGGACUACCCAAAAAUCAGACCAUAUUUCUGAGAGUGUUGUCCAAAUGCUUCUUGAACUCUGGCAGUCUCAGUGCUGUGAACACUUCCUUAGGAAGCCUGCU